UUGAGAGUUUGGACUUGGCUAAGGUUUGAACGCUGGCUGCAGGCCUAACACAUGCAAGUCGAGCGGAAACGAGUUAUGUGAACUUUCGGGGAUCGAUAACGGCGUCGAGCGGCGGACGGGUGAGUAAUGCCUAGGUAAUUGCCUUGAUGUGGGGGAUAACCAUUGAAUACGAUGGCUAAUACCGCAUGAUGCAUACGGUCCAAAGAGGGGGACGUUCGGGCCUCUGGCGUCAGGAUAGGCCCAGGUGGGAUUAGCUAGUUGGUGAGGUAAGGGCUCACCAAGGCGACGAUCCCUAGCUGGUCUGAGAGGAUGAUCAGCCACACUGGAACUGAGACACGGUCCAGACUCCUACGGGAGGCAGCAGUGGGGAAUAUUGCACAAUGGGGGCAAGCCUGAUGCAGCCAUGCCGCGUGUGUGAAGAAGGCCUUCGGGUUGUAAAGCACUUUCAGUCGUGAGGAAGGUGGUGUAGUUAAUACCUGCAUCAUUUGACGUUAGCGACAGAAGAAGCACCGGCUAACUCCGUGCCAGCAGCCGCGGUAAUACGGAGGGUGCGAGCGUUAAUCGGAAUUACUGGGCGUAAAGCGCAUGCAGGUGGUUUGUUAAGUCAGAUGUGAAAGCCCGGGGCUCAACCUCGGAAUAGCAUUUGAAACUGGCAGACUAGAGUACUGUAGAGGGGGGUAGAAUUUCAGGUGUAGCGGUGAAAUGCGUAGAGAUCUGAAGGAACACCGGUGGCGAAGGCGGCCCCCUGGACAGAUACUGACACUCAGAUGCGAUUGCUUGCAGCCC
rnacentral:rRNA from 1 species